rnacentral:rRNA from 1 species
GUGGGGAAUAUUGCGCAAUGGGGGAAACCCUGACGCAGCAAUACCGCGUGAGUGAAGAAGGUUUUCGGAUCGUAAAACUCUUUUAUUGGGGAAGAAGAAGUGACGGUACCCAAUGAAGAAGUCCCGGCUAACUACGUGCCAGCAGCCGCGGUAAUACGUAGGGGACAAGCGUUGUCCGGACUCACUGGGCGUAAAGGGCGCGUAGGCGGUUUUAUAAUUCAGAUGUGAAAGGUACCGGCUCAACCGGUGACGUGCAUUUGAAACUGUAAGACUUGAGUACUGGAGAGGCAAGUGGAAUUCCUAGUGGAGCGGUGAAAUGCGUAGAUAUUAGGGGGAACACCGGUGGCGAAGGCGGCUUGCUGGACAGAUACUGACGCUGAGGUGCGAAAGCGUGGGGAGCGAACAGGAUUAGAAACCCCGGUAGUCC